rnacentral:lncRNA from 1 species
AUUACGCAUGUGGACAACAGGAUUUUGAUGUCCAGUUAAAUUAUCACAUGGUUGUGCAUAUGCACUAUCUAUUAAACCGACAAUCGUUGUUUUCAGGUUCAGGUUCGAUAUGUCAGGGCUAAACUAAGCUCGUCAGUUAAAGAAAGACCUCGAGAGACUCUGUAGGUACGGUGCUAUUGUUAGUGUGUUGUUGUCAGUACUACUCCAAUACUUUGGUGUGUGGUUGCAUAGUACUCCAAUACUUUGGGGUAGUAAAAAAUGUAUACGUGGUGGGAAAGCAUCAGUCGUUCGUAUUUGCAGAAUAGGGAAAUCAAUAAAUAAUACCAUUAAGAAAGCAUGCAUGGUAUAGUGAAUACUUAGUAUACCAGUCAUAUUUUCGCGGCAACAUGCACCUAUUUGGAGGCUUAUCCGAUAUUAUUGCAAUCUGGUAGAACUGACAUAUACUCCCUCCGUCCGGAAAUACUUGUCAUCAAAAUGAAUAAAAGGAGAUGUAUCUAGAUGUAUUUUAGUUCUAGAUACGUCCCUUUUAGUCCAUUUUGAUGACAAGUAUUUUCAGACGGAGGGAGUACUUUACUGGAGCUAGCACCUCAUGCAUAGUUAUUGUAUCAACCAGAAAGAAACUUCCGAUCUACCAUUUUACAAAACCAAAUUGUAUAGUGAGUAAUUGAAGUGAAGUUGUUUUGGGCACCCAAAGAUAAUUCUGUUUGUAUAUUCCUGCCACUUGUAUGGUUACAAGAAGCUAAAUGUUGUUUUUCUUUUUUAUGUUCUCGGUAGAAACCCUGUCAUCCUUUUCUAUCCACAUGAUGCUUAGGGGCCGUUUGGAUUACCACCAACGCCGACCCUAUCAGUUUUUUGGCAUGCCCUUGCGAUUUGGACCCUGUUUGGACCAUCGCUAAAAUAUUGGCUCGCCCCAAAGGCUCAGUGUUACUUCUGCCAACUCGUGGGCGCAUCGAGGGCGCCGAAAUUGGUCGCCAAAAAAUUGGCGAGCACAUUCCUCGCCGGCUGAUACGAGGAUCUCGUGUUAGUGUUUUUUAAUCUCGUAUAGUUCAAACAAUCGGUGCAGCGGAUUAAUUGGCUGAGUAUUUCUUUGGGUCGUUGUGAUCACUUAGAUCGCGCAACUAAUUCUGUUUAUCACAGUCCAAUAGCCGGAGAAGAAAUUGUACUACCAAAUUACGGUUGUUUGUCUCUUUUUCCUUUUUUGCGAAUGAAAUUGUCUCUGUUUUCGUAAAGGCAGCUGCAAGUUUCGUUGAGCACAAAAGUUGUAUCUUUUCAUUGUUUUUGUGAAUGACCCAUUUCAUUUCUUUCUGCAUGCUACAGUUAAUUAAGUGUCCAUAUUACAAAAAUAAAAUUUUGAGUUUAUUUGUUAUUGGCUCAACAUUAUAACUAAAAACACAAAUCAAUUCAAGUUGUCAAACCAAAUGUAAUAUCUGCCAACAUUUUGGAAGGUUCAGUGGCUAUAAACCAAACAAUAACAACUUGCCAAUUUUUUGGUCAUGCCCUCACUUUGGUCAUGCCAAAAAUUUGAUAGGGCAAAUUGGGGCACAAACCCAACACACCCUUACUAUUUUUUGUACUUGUUCGUCACCAAUCAAUAAAACAUUGUGUAUUCAUUACAUAUGGUGAAUGGCCUUCUAGAUUUGUGAGUUCAUAGGUAGUUAUACAACAGCAGAGCCAUGUUCUAAAAACAGAUUCGAGCCUUUCCUUGGUUUGGAGUUGGGUCCCGAAGAAACGUUCGAGCGCAUGAAAUCAGUUCUUUUCAAGAAUGCAAUUGCUUUUUUUCUCUCAUAGAUUCCACUCGUAACAUAUCACAAGUAUCUUCAGUCUAAGAAAAUAGGAAAAGUGAACUUACAUGAUUUAUUUAAAUUACUAAAUAACUUACUAGAUAAUGUAUAUUUCCGUUUGAGCAUUCCGAAAACUGAAUGCCACUCCAUUAAGUUGUAGGAUGCAUAAGGUAAGGAAAAUAUAGGAAGCCCAGACAUCUGUAGUAAUACCAGAAGUGGAAGAACAAGGGCAAGAAAAUAUGUAAAAGGGCCAAUGAUAGGCGAAAAAAGAUUCACGUGGUUAAUAUAGUUCAUGUUUUGCACCAAGGAAGAACAGAGGAAUGGAAGCAAAGAGAAAUGAGUGAGCAUACACCUUUGCUACUACCUCUCUCUCAGUUUACAGGGCGUGCGCGUAUCCCUAAGUCGUCAAUUUGACCAACCUAAUACAAGUCAUAUAUUACAAAAAGUAUACCAAUAUAAACUUUAGAUGUUCUAUUUUCAAAAGAUAUAAUUUUUGUGUUAUACAGUUUAUAUUAAGGUGAUCAAAUUGGCAACCUAGGUAUACGCGUAGGACUUGUAAACUGAAACGGAGGUAGUAGAUUUUAUGAACUGAACUAAUGUACAAAAACACAUAUUGUUAUCUUGGUGCAUAUAGUUAUUUAAUUUAACAACUUGAAUUCCACAUGAAGCGUACUGUAUUGGACUUCUCUGGGCUUUACAUGUGCUCAUAUUCCAUAAUUUGGAUCAGAAAUGAAGCCUAUGCGUAUGUAUAAAGCAUUUGCAUUAUACUAAUAUUGUGUGUGUUGUUCUCAUGAACUCCAUAGCAGAUAUCCCGAUUCAAAGUAAUAUAGCCAGAGAUGUUAACAUUUGUUGUUGGAAACACAAGCACUAAUUUUUUUAUUGCAUUUGAACUAGAUAUGGUUGUAUCUUAGAGAUUGUUGCUUUGGACAGGAUUUACUAUAUUUUGCAGCAGGCUACAUGCUUCUCUGAAUGACCAUUUAAGGAGUGAACAUGAAUUGCUGAUGUAUAUGUUCCAUGCUCCAUGGGGAGGGAACAAGGAUUGAUUUUCGCCAGGAGUAGGGAGAGUAUGGUGAGUUACUUCUAUGCUUUAAGGGGCUUCCAGAACUACUUGAUUGUGAAACAAGUCACUAGGUACUGCUCAGAUCAAUUAUAUGGAUUGUACCACCGUCUGUUCAAGCUGUAGAAACUCCUAUCCCUGAAUUUCUAUUUAUUGGAACCAUUAGAUUUAUUAGUAUUUUAGUCAUUACAUUUCUACAGAGGCUAUGUGAAGCAAACAAAUUCCUAUCCCUUUUAAAUUUUAAUACAUGUAAUGUACUACUCCCUCCGUCCCAAAAUACUUGUCAUCAAAGUGGAUAAAAGAGGGUGUAUCUAGAUGUAUUUUAGUUCUAGAUACAUCUCUUUUUAUCCAUUUUGAUGACAAGUAUUCUCGGACGGAGGAAGUACAUGUUAGUAAGGAGCUGACACUCUUGGACGGUGAGAAAUUAUUGACGUUUGGUAAUGAGAAAUUAUUGAUGUUUGGUAUAGAAAUAUAAUUACAUGAAAAACAUAGUUUAAUUAUUGAUGUCAUAAUUCUUUUUGGCCAUACCUGCAUAUUUACAACCCUCUUAUCUUUAUUACUACACUGUUCUUUGCUAUACAUGAUAGUUCAGCUGUGAAAUUGACUACAGCUUACACGCAUACUUACCAGACUUGCGUAACAGAAGCACAAACACAAAUGGACACUCUGCAGUUGUAUCAGACACACCACCACAAGACAUGAUGUGUGCAUCAGAAUUCUUAGCAACAACUGUUACGACCGUGCAACGCCAAGAUUGCUAGCGACAAGGAUUUGAGGAGGACAAGACGGUAGCUAUCGACAAGGAUUCAAGAAGGACCAGAUGCCACGGUAGUGGUUGUAAUAUUAGUCGAGACGAAUCUGAAAAAAUUGAGUUGAGAUGUGGAGAUACGAUGGAUUUUGCAAAAAAAAAUGAGUAAAUUUUUGCUACAAAGAACAUAUUGGUGUGCAUGUACUGAUUGCACUUGCUUCAUGGCGCAAUAUGUUUAUCCUGCUACGAAAAAUGCAUUAUUUUUUAUUAGAGAAGGGGGGUUCCAAGGCAGAGAUAGCGAGUAGAAGAAAAGUUAUCUACCAUAAAAGACGACAAGGUCACAUGACAUGCACUGAUUGCAUUUG